GAUGAACGCCGGCGGUGUGCCUAAUACAUGCAAGUCGAGCGCACUGGCCCAACUGAUAUGACGUGCUUGCACUGAAUUGACGUUGGAUUCCCAGUGAGCGGCGGACGGGUGAGUAACACGUGGGCAACCUGCCCUGAAGCGGGGGAUAACAUCUGGAAACAGGUGCUAAUACCGCAUAACAACGAAAACCACAUGGUUUUCGUUUCAAAGAUGGUUUCGGCUAUCACUUCAGGAUGGGCCCGCGGUGCAUUAGCUAGUUGGUAAGGUAACGGCUUACCAAGGCGAUGAUGCAUAGCCGAGUUGAGAGACUGAUCGGCCACAAUGGAACUGAGACACGGUCCAUACUCCUACGGGAGGCAGCAGUAGGGAAUCUUCCACAAUGGGCGCAAGCCUGAUGGAGCAACACCGCGUGAGUGAAGAAGGGUUUCGGCUCGUAAAGCUCUGUUGUUGGAGAAGAACGUGCGUGAGAGUAACUGUUCACGCAGUGACG
rnacentral:rRNA from 2 species